UAGUCCACGCUGUAAACGAUGUCUACUUGGAGGUUGUUGUCUUGAAUGAUGGCUUUCGGAGCUAACGCGUUAAGUAGACCGCCUGGGGAGUACGGCCGCAAGGUUAAAACUCAAAUGAAUUGACGGGGGCCCGCACAAGCGGUGGAGCAUGUGGUUUAAUUCGAUGCAACGCGAAGAACCUUACCUACUCUUGACAUCUAGAGAAGCCAGCGGAGACGCAGGUGUGCCUUCGGGAACUCUAAGACAGGUGCUGCAUGGCUGUCGUCAGCUCGUGCUGUGAGGUGUCGGGUUAAGUCCCAUAACGAGCGCAACCCCUAUUCUUAGUUGCCAGCGGGUAAUGCCGGGGACUCUAGGAAAACUGCCCGUGCAAACGGAGAGGAAGGUGGGGAUGACGUCAAAUCAUCACGGCCCUUACGUCCAGGGCUACACACGUGCUACAAUGGUCGGUACAAAGGGCGGCUACCUGGUGACAGGAUGCUAAUCUCUAAAGCCGAUCUCAGUUCGGAUCG
rnacentral:rRNA from 1 species